ACGAAAUGGAGUGCGAUUAGGACGUGUCCGUAAUAAAUAAUUAAACAUCCUUUUUAUUUACUUGUAAUGCUCUUAGCACUUCAAUAGUAAUACCAAACACUGCUUUCGAUUAUGUUCAUUUCGUGCAAAGUUUUGUUCGACCCAAAUUUGCUGCGGAAAUAUGGAAGAGGAACUUAACGAAAAUGAUUUGGAGGAGCGGCUGUAUGCUAUGAUCCAUCAUGUAGACGGGACGCAAGCAGAUGAGAUCGCACAACAGAGCCAUGACGCAAGUCCGCGUGUUGACGAUACGCCGCGAAGCACCGUAAGGCGCUACUGGCGUACAAAUCAUAACAGCGCGUUUCAAAAAGUAAACACGCCUAAAGACGCUCCGACCAACAGAAACACGCCCUACAACAACAAGACACCUGCUGUUGUAAACAAAAACACUCCUGUGCCCGUCAACAACAGUCAUGCAGCCGCUGCCGUCUCCGACACUAAACCGAAAGAGGAGAAAGACGCACCCGACUCACCACCAGCUGGCCUGUUCAUAUUACAGAACACUGCUCCUCAGAGUUACACAAAAAUAGUUGAAAUAUUAGAUAUUGAUGAAAGACCAAAGGUUUUCGAACUACAGUCAAGCGAUGAGGAUGAAGUUGUUGAAGUUGCUUUACCACCCAAGCCCACCAUCACUAUUGAGAGCUCUGAUGAAGAUGAACUGAUUAUCCAAAAUGAUAAAAACAUCACUGAAAAAGGCAAGAACAGCUCUAAAGAAAAUAAGUCACCAAACAAAAAUAAAAGAGAUGUAUCAUCAAGUCCGGUUCCAUCAGUUCAGUCAUCUAUGUCUGAUGAUUUCAUCCGUGGGGACUGCAUAGCUCUCAACAUAUCCUCAGCACAGCCGACCAAUGAAAGUUUUGACUUCAGCUUGCACGGAUCAGAUCUCAUUGGAGAUUCAACUCCUGCCAAGAAGAAGAAGAAAAAGAAAUCUAAAGACAGGUUGACAUCAACUCCCAUCAACCCUGAACAGAAAGUUCAGGAGUUGAGUAAUGCUGACAACAUUUUUGCCACACCAAAGAGUAAAGCAAAAAACAAGAAACCCAAGACAAAGUCUUAUACUGUGUCUGAGAAAAUCAUUCCAAACCCAGAUGUGUAUGAUUCUGACAGCAAUCAGUCUACUACAGACUUAAAUAAAAAUCAUGAUGCAUACGCUGUUACAGAUAAAAGCUUCCCGUGUGCUGAUGUUUACGAAUCAGACUCGAGCGUGUCUGAAUGUAUCAAGGUGGUGGAAAAACAGCCGGCACCACAGAAGAAAGCAAAUGUAAAUGAUAUUUCUGACAAUGAUGUAUCCACAGAAUUAUCAAAAACUAUAAAUACAACAGACAAGACCAUUGUUGUGGACCUGACAAGUGACUACACUACCCUUGAUAGUACUCACAUUGAAGAGAACAUUGUUAUUGCUAAUAUAACUGGUUAUUCAGAUGUGCAUGAAUAUGGAGACAGUAUUGAGAACACAACUCGUGAAGACCUUGGAGAAUUCUGUUCAACGAAAGUACCGCAGAUAUUGUAUGAAGACCUGGACUUUGACAACCUGAAGGGGAAGGACAAAGUGUGUAAGCGCGACGGUACUCGCUGACUACACUGCGGGCUGAGAUGGACAAGUUUUACAAUGAAAGCUGGGGUGGCGAGAAUUUCAACCAUCAGGAGAUUCAGAAGAACAUGUCACGAGAUAAGAGCUUGUGGGUGAUCGACC
rnacentral:misc_RNA from 1 species